UACGUAGGAGGCAAGCGUUGUCCGGAAUUACUGGGUGUAAAGCGCGUGUAGGCGGCAGGCCAAGUCUGUGGUGAAAUCGCUCGGCUCAACUGGGCGGGGUCCAUGGAAACUGGUCAGCUGGAGGACGGUAGAGGUGAGUGGAAUUCCCGGUGUAGUGGUGAAAUGCGCAGAUAUCAGGAGGAACACCAGUGGCGAAGGCGGCUCACUGGCCCGGUACUGACGCUGAGGUGCGAAAGCAUGGGUAGCGAACAGG
rnacentral:rRNA from 1 species